CUAGUGUGAUUAUUAAACUUAGUUGUUUUCCUCUAAUGGUUUUAUUGAUAGUUAAUUAAGAACGCUGGUCAUAAACCAAGCGUUCGGCCUUACAAGUGUUCGGCCUUAGGCUAACACUUAAAUUGUAAAACUUGCGAAUCUGAUAUUCUUCCUUUUGAAACCGUNCGGUCNCUUAAUGACUGAAUNGUCUAGUGAGCCUUUAUUAUUGAAACGUCNGGUUUACUUGACUAAAGUCAUUUUACUCCUUUAAAGAAUUCCUCUUUUCUUAGUUCGUUNGGUUUGAGAAGUGUUCGGUCAUAGACCAGCCUUCGGACAUGAUUAGUACUUGUUUUAUAACAUUCUUUGCUAAACCGUCUGGAUGACUAUCACUUAUAGUCCAUCCUUUGGGAUACGGCCUUAUUCUUUGUCGAACCAUCCGGCCAACCAUUUGACAUUCUUUUGCUAUUCAGUCUCACCUUGGAUCAGACCGUCCGGUCAUUAUUAAGUGUUAANUCUUUGAUGGUUAGUUCUAUUCGUGCCAGAUCGGCCGGUCAACUAUUAUAAAUGUUUUAUGGCAUCCAGUGUUAGUUCUUAUUGGACCAUUCGGUCAUACUUCCUUGUCUCAUUCUCUCUUUUAUUCCAUCGUUGACAAUCUGGUCGUUUUCUUGACACCCUUCCAGUCUGAAAGUGAUAAUGAACUUAUAUCUAAUUUGGUUGAGUAAGGGAAUUCCAAUGGAGGAAUGUCUCAUGAAUUGGUGAUGAUUGGUAAAGUAUGAACAUGGUCAGACCCAGGUUUGGUCGUCCUGAUCCUGAUAUUCCGUGAGGGCGCUUUCUCAGGUAGAGAAAGGUCACUCAUGUGUGGGAAUGGCAGGAGGUCCGCGGUUAUACGAANAGAUAACCGUUUGAGGACUAACCUCGGGUGGCAGCUGAUAAGUAAAGGCAGCUACUACACCACACNGGGUGCUAGGGACGUCGGGCUACGUGGUUCAUACCGUCCGGACAGUGUCGUAGUAGUCGGUCAUAAGUUAAUCUACUUANUAUGCAUGUAUAGAAAUUGUAUGUCUGUACGAUUGAUUUGGUUUUGUUUGUAUGUUUACUUGUAUGAUGAAACGAUUAAUUAAAUUUACAUAAGCUUACCCUUAUCUGUUUNGUCUUUGUCUAUGUUGUCGUUCGGUAUCCGACCGUUCGGUUAUUCUCUUCAUUGCAAUGAUCAUCCUUUUGGGUGUGAGCAGAGGAUACUUUAGAAGCUACUCUGGAAGACACUCUGGAGGAUGCUGGGCAGGCAGAACAACCCUUGGAGGCGGUGCCCNAGAAUUAUGCAGGACCGUCCGGUCCUUAGAAUAGUUACUUUCCUUGUUCAGUUAGUUAGNCGUCCGGUACNGAACCUUUUGGUGUUGGCCGAGAGGUCAAUGAAUUGUAUUCAAGACCGUCUGGUCUAUUUUGUAAAAGUUGUAUAAAUCUUACUGUUAUACGGUUUCUAAUCGUCCAGUAUUUCUCAUAC
rnacentral:lncRNA from 1 species